CCCCAGCGCCACAAGUGGUGGUCCGCAUUAUUUGGCCUAAAGCGUCCGUAGCUGGUUUAGUAAAUCUCUUGUGAAAUCGUUCUGCUUAACAGGGCGGCGUGCAGGAGACACUGCUUGACUAGGGAUUGGGAGGAGUUAGGGGUAUGCUGUAGGGAGCGGUAAAAUGCUAUAAUCUACAGUAGACCACCUGUGGCGAAGGCGCCUAACUAGAACAAGUCCGACAGUGAGGGACGAAAGCCAGGGGAGCAAACCG
rnacentral:rRNA from 1 species